AUGAACACUGUAGUUCAUGCUAUGCACCGGAGACUGCAUCAGGCUCUGUGGAUAAAGGUGACCAAAGAAGCAGGUGUGUCCUCCAGGAAGUCUCCCCCUCAGGGGCCCAAGGACACACCUGGAAGCCAUUAGCAGCAGCUCCGGCACCAGCUCUGGAGCCAGCCGUUGCAGCCACAAAGGGAUAGCAGAACCCAAGAUAAAGCCCCAACUAUCGCCCAUGGUGCCGCCCGGCUUUCUCUUCCAUACUCAUAGGUAGACCCUGCCUGAGACCGUUGGUACCCGAGCACUUUCUACUCCUAACUCAGCAAAGAGUCAGAAACUCCUGUCAUUAUUCUGAAACUACCAAAGGAAAGUCUCCAGGAAAAAGGCCCCUGUGGGUUGUCAAAAUGAUUGCCACCAAACCUGACUACCUAAGUUUGAUUUCUAGGAACA